GAUCAGCUAGGCUCUGAAGGAUCAUCAUAUUUGGUCUAUGGUGAUCAGUGACACCAGGCAGCAGGUAGAGAAACCCCUGAAGAAAGGAAGCUAUCCCCCAUGGACUCUAACGCUACCAGAGUGGGCAGCGUGCAGUAUGACCGCUGGAACGAGGACAACAUCAACAUGAACGUCGAGGCAUCACAGAAUACUUCACAGAGAAUCUACAGCAGAGUGUGUAAUGGCAGCUCUGGAGUAGCAGUGAAGACGGCCGGAGCUUUGGCUGCAUUGGUGUCCAUCUACAUUAUAGGAUACGUAACAGGAUACUACGUUCAUAGGUGCGGAUCACUAUGAUUUUGGAUAAACUACGACAUUUUAAAAAAGUUUUGUAAAUAAAAGUCCCAAAGGUUUAUGUGAGUCAUCAGA